GUCGCCUCCCGCUCGCGGGCAUCCCGCAGCCGGGUGAAAUACUCGGCGGCGAAGCCCACCAGGUCGGCCGGCCGGUGCCGCAGCACCUCCACCGUGUAGCCCUGCAGCAGCUCGAUUUCUCAAGAAAAGAAUGUCUUCAGACCAUACCGUUGGAAAAUGUAGAUAGAUUAUGCAGGAAAAACAUACUUUGAUACGGAAAAGAGGCACUGUGGCCUCACUUUCCUCAAGUGAUUCAACAUGUCCUGAAGAUAGUUGCUCAGUCCAUCGAAUGGCUCUGCCCCCUGCCUGUUUUGCUUGCGCCUGAGCUGCUCUUUCAUGGAGUGGUGAAUGAGCCAGGCUUUGUGAUCUAACUCUCUCCAGGACUUUCCCCCCCCCACAUCUCUACGAACUCUUGCUUCUAAAUCAUAAGACAAAAUGUUUACUGGCAACUGACAGCUGCUUGCGCACGCAGUGACUUCUACACAGGACUGCACCACCAGUGCGCAACUGCUGAACUGCAGGAGACCUGGUGAGAAAUCCCCUCAUUUGCCCCAUCAACAUCAGCGCUGCCUCCCAGGAGGAGGAAACCUUUGGCUCUGACCUUUCCAGGAACGGUUCACCUUGGAUCUGUGUUUGUUGUGCUGCUUUAGCAAUUGCUGCUGCAAUUCCCAUGACGGUGAAAAAUGCAGAUACCCUCCAUUCCAUCAGUGUCCUUAACUGCAUAGACACAGUACUGAUAGAAAAUGGAACAUGUUAGUUCAUUUUGUGAUUGUUGCUGAAUGAAAUACCAGCAGUGACUCUGCUUUUGGAACAAGCAGUACUUGUGACAUGGUAGUGGUUCAUUCCUACAGCCAUCCUGAUAAGUAGGAAAAUGGAGGGGGGGAAAAAGAAAUUUUUCAUCAACACAGGAAGCAAUUUGUCUGUACCGCAAGGUAUUGCUCCUCUCAAAAGAGGCACGCAGGUUUUGCAUUGGUACUGUUAUGCUGUGCCUCACCCAUGACAUUUCCUGAAGAAGCAGAGCCACCUCCAGCUCCUUACAGAUGAAACUCAAUCUUGCAGACCCAACACAGCUUUUGCUGAAUGGAAACAUUGUGUACCUGGGAAAAAGACUUGGAACGUUCUUCCUUUGGUGCCUAUGUUUGCUAGGGCCUGGUGGGUAAAUACAGAGACUUGCUGCUAGGAAAGCUGCACAGUAGUUUCUGUCUUCACGCCUUUCCCAUCUCAGCAGCAGCAGUAGCCAGCCCAUUUCUCUGGGGUGCUGCCACUGACAAAGCAGGAGUAGAACCAGGUCCCUUCUUUCCUACCUACUUCCUGGGGCAGCUUCAGCCUCCUUUCUAAGAGAAACCUCUGCUGUUACAGCCUGAAUUGAGCUGCAUUACAAAAGCCUGGGGUGUCUUGCAACUAAAUGUGCCUGCAGCUGCUGGGAAGUGAGGGAAGGGACUCUGAGAACAGCCAGUUCCCUUCUUUGGAGUGAUCUCCCACCAGUUGCCAGUUCCUGAACUUUGGCUCGGGAGGCAGUCAGCAAAGGAGAUAAUUGCCUGGCAGCGAUUGAUACAAAGUCAAGGGUGAGUGGGGAAGAACGAGCGGGGAGGGUUGUGUUUCAGAGAGAUGUAUUUUUGCUUAGCAUUUGUCUGUGCAGGCAGUUGGGGGCUUUUCUCCAUCACAUCAGCUUAAACUUGAGGAGAAGGACUCAUUGUAAUGUUAUACCUUUUCAGCAUUUCAGCUGGUUCUCCUGAAAUCUAUAUGGAGGUUAAAGAUGAGAAGGGAAAGAAAAUUGAUUUUCCUACCUUCAGCCAGGACAGAAAAAAAGUGCUCAAGGCUAAAUGAAAUUUUAGAAUUUUUUGGACUAUACAAAAUGGAGAGGAAGGAGCAAACACCUGCCAGUAAUAAAUAACUGUUAGGAAACUGCAUUAGGAAAUACUGCUAUAAAGAAAUGCUGCUGCUAGGAUCUGCUUUCAGCAUUGGAGUAUCCAUAGCCAGGCAGCUCAACAUUUAUUUAGAUAUCAACAGCUUGUGCGCAAAUUCUCUCAAAUGCAGAGCAGCAGCAGCACUAUAAGAGAAGCCAGCACUCAGCACUCUGACAGAGAAGCAGUCAUUACAGAACAGAACAUUUCAGCUUUCCGGUCAGUAAUACCUACAGUUAGCAAUAGCAUCAUGUACUUCAGCAAAUUUACAUUCAAACUGUUAUCUACAAAGGGAAGUAAAGCUUAUCUGUAGCCUUUUGCAGUAACUUUGAUACUGAUCUUUAUAGCCAUUCUUCCAGUAAGAGAAGCUAUGAAUUAUAGACUGCUUAAACUAAACUAGAUGUGGAGACGUUAGUAAAAGCACUGUCUGUCCACUAAUAAAGGUUUACAUUUUCACCAGGUUUGGAGAUGUAAUUGCCAAAUUAUAUUGUUCUAACACGCUGAGACAGAGCAAAAUGUCCUCAGUUAUGCACAAAAGUUUCUGCCCUAGAAAUGUUUUUGUUUUUUUUUUUAAGACUGCAGUGUUAGGCAGUGUGUUCUGCCCUGCAGCCCAUUCCUUCACUGGGCUGCUUAAUCAAGGAUUAAUCAAGAGUCUACUGGACAGAAAGACAAAGCGUGGCAUAAAACCAGGACAUCAAAAAGGUUCAGCCAGAAUCACUUACAAGGCCUUUGAGCAGGCAGUCAGCCCGUCUGCACAGAUAGGACUACCAGUACUGUGUCCCAGGGACCGGGGCUGAGGCUGGGAUCCUUACAGCUUUGCUUCCCAGCCUAUGGGGGGAGCUCACACUGUGAGGGAAGUAGCUCCUAGCAGCUCUCUAUGUCAGAAGCAAAAGUCCCUGUGAAGCAGCUGCAGAGGGAGCUGGGCCUAUUUUCAAAUGGGAGCAAUUGCGCAACAUUGUUGAAGUUCUUCAGUGCAGAGCGUAUCCAAUGGCAGCAGCAGCCUCUUGCUGUUGAGCCAGCAGGCUUUUUUGUUUGCGGUCUGUAAAAGGAAGCAGCAUUAUGGCUGGAACCCAGGUGUCAUGAGAAGAACCUUCUCACACAGCACAAAUGUGGUACAUUCCUGCCCAGUGGCUGUGAAGCACCGGAAGAGACUAUUUUGGCCAUGGUAAAAGAUUACUUGCUCUAGGACCAGUCCCAAAAUACCAGCUACCAGUUUAUUCUGGUUGUUGUUCCACAGCUGAUGGCAAGAAUGUCCUCUGCAAACCCAAGUCCCUGAGACCAGUGUGAAAGUCAGGAGUAACGUGGACUUAUUCUUUCAUGACACAAGGGAUUGAGUUAGGUAACAUUAAAAACAUAAUAAUGUAGUAUACACAAGUGCACAAGACCCCAUGGGAUACAUUCACAACUACUGAGUGAAUUGGCUGAUGUCACUGCAAGGUCACUCUUGGUGUCUUUGAAAAGUUGCAGUAAUCAGGGAAGGUUUCUGAGGACUGGAAGAAAGUACAUGUGAGCCUAAUCUUCAAGAAAAGCAAGAACAAUCUGGGGAAGUACAGCCUGGUAAACCCUACCUCAAUCCAUGGGAAAGCAAUGGAGCAGAUCCUCCAGGAAGUUAUUUCCUUGGAAGGCCAAGAAGGUGAGUGAGAGAACUGUCGGCAUGGAUCUGGAUGUGGGGAUUUCAAGCCUGCUCAGCCUAGCAGCUUUUGUUGAUGAAAUGACUGACUCGGUGGAUGACAGAGGCAGACUUUUCCUAGCAGCAAUGGGAAAUUCUGUCUUUAUGUACGAGAAAUGUAUUUUGCUGUGAAGGUGAUUAACACUGAAGCAGGUUGUCCAGAGAGGUGCACAGCCACUGUCCUUGGGUAUAUUCAUAAGCCAACCAGAGGCAGUCCUGAGCAAUCCUCCCUAGUUUGGGAGGGUUGGACCCAGCCCAACUUUCAGCAGUCGCAUCUGAGGUCUGUCUAUUCUUUCCGAACAAGCACCUGACAGUGGCCAACAGCAGAUACUUCUGGAAAGAACACAAGAAGUAAAGCACUCUGUGUGACUUCCCUAGUAGAACACUCCCAGUUCUUAACAACCUGCAACUCAGGAAUUUCUUGUGCAAGAAGUGAUGGAUAGCCGUAUCAGUUUUCAGUAGUUCUCGAGCUUUUGAACAAACAAGCAGAUGUGUCUGAUCAGCCUACUUUAAACAUUUCUCCUCCCACAGCUGUUGUUGCAAAGCAACCCUUCAUUCUUGUUCUCUUUCUUCUGUAUUGAACUUCACUAGAAGCACCAAAUGGAGUCGAUCAUAUUAAACAAACAAUAUUUCUUCAUGCAAAAUACAAAGCUCUGUAAAAUCAUCAGGGUGGGGAUAAUACAAUUAGGAUAACUGAAAUUGGAAAAAGAAUCUGAAGUUCUUAAAAAACAUGAAGUUACAUUUAAAAGGUAGGUAUUAAAGAAAGGGAUGGCUUGGUAGAAGGGAGAUAGUUUAUAGUUACUAGUAGCAGCUGAAGUAUUAGAGAAUGCGGGAAGUCUCUCAGUCUUUCAGAACAAGUCCUGCUUCAGGCUAUAGGCAGGUGAGACUGAGCUGGUGCCAGCACAGCCAAGGUUCAACUGCAGGCCAACUGCAGGUUAAGAGAAGGCUUCACAGAGCCCAGCUCACAAAAGUCUCCUGUUCCCCCUCACCACAAGACGAAAGAAUGACAGUCUUCCUCAUAAGGGUAGAUGGGCAGAAGAGGCUCCUACCUUCCAGCUGCCUGUCUGCCCUGCUACAUAAUGCCUCUGAAGCCUGACACAGAAAGCUGCCACGAGUGGAAACACCAGGCACCAGCCCGUGCUCUUGCUAACUUGCCUCUGACCUUGCCUUUAGAUCUGCUUUGUCCAUCUUGCUGACAGCCCCAGACAGCCAUCUGCUGGGCAAUUGCAUAAAAAAACCCCAAACAAUCUAGAACAGCACUUACAGCCAAGACUAUAGUUCAGUUCUUUCUAGUUCUUUCUAUGAGAUCAGAAGCUGAACACAAAGCAUUCAUUAGUUGACAGGACAGGUGGAACAAACAGUGUUAAAGAUCAGUAUUUGGAAUUUUGAAAGGAGAUGCAGGGUUUGCACACUUCUGUCCCUCCCAAGGAACGUCGCUAUUUCUGUAACACUUCAGUAAAGAGGAAUAAAACAUUGAAGCUUGAUGACACUUCGUAAAGCUGAGACAAAUCGCUUCGAGGCAUCACAGCUCCCACACAGAGGUCAGAGAGGCGAUCAGAAUUACUAGAGAAUCAAAGCCAAGGAGAGCAUUUGGUGGUUAGGAAACAUACAUCCAUAAAAGCAGACUUAGUCCUCUUGACAUUAGUUUGAAUUUAGCCUCAACAAACCUAGAGAGCUGUGUUUAAAACAGUUCCACAGAUUAACAUCCUUUAAUUACUUUUUCUCUGAACUAGCAUUAACUCAGCGUUACAUAAUUCAUUCAUCCACAGCAGCGACUUUGAGAAGCAGGAGCAGCAGCAGGUUCCUAGGCAGCAAGGAACGGGGAGGGUCUGCCACUGCUAACAAAGCAGGGAGAAUUUGGGGCAGCUCCAAGCAACUGGCUUUUCCCAUACGAGGGGCUUCCUCACUGCUUUCACACCUCCCACCUUUUCCCUGUAAAUCACGAAGGUGGGCUCUGGGGAAGGCAGACUCUCUUCCAAAGAACUGGGAAGGAGAACACGAUUCAGGGCUUCCAAAGCAGCACUGGGUGGGGUGUAUUCAGGAACAACUCAUUUGUCGAAAGCCAAGGUGAGAUUGUUUCUUUACAGCAUAGACAAACAGGUCACAGCAAAUCAAGAACAACCUCUCAGCUGCCCUUUCUGUGUGGCAACAGUACAGAUUCUUUCCCUAAGCAGCCCCACAUCCAUGUCCAGGCCUUUUCCUGAAAAACAUCAAAUCCUUUCCACAGACAAGAGGUUUUAUUUAGCAUCUGGCUUUGAAGUUAAAGAGCUUCAGCUAUUACAGCACCUCAUGUUUGCCUUUCGAGUCCUGCUAAGUGCAGAACAUUCAUUUUCCAGUAUCACUUAAAGAACAAAAAACCCGAAAGCUAAAAGGCAAGCAGAUAAAAAGCAGUAAGGCACAGCCUAUUUCCCACUGACAUCUAAGAAUUAAGAAUUGGAAAAUUUUUGCCAAACUAACCAUGCACGACCAGACAAAAAUAAACCAAAGCACACAUUCAAGCCAAGCAGGAGCCAGCUUUAUUGACUUCUGGUAACACUGCAACAAAAUCAGGAGAAAAUAAAGGUGCUUUUUUUUUGCCUCUUAGCAUUAGUAAUUUCUCAAAUUAAAAUGUG